rnacentral:rRNA from 1 species
CACCCUUCGUAUUACCGCGGCUGCUGGCACGUAGUUAGCCGGUGCUUAUUCUUCAGGUACCGUCAUCCUCCCGGGGUAUUAGCCCAGAAGAUUUCUUCCCUGACAAAAGCAGUUUACAACCCGAAGGCCUUCUUCCUGCACGCGGCAUUGCUGGAUCAGGCUUGCGCCCAUUGUCCAAAAUUCUCCA